rnacentral:rRNA from 1 species
UACGUAGGGUGCAAGCGUUGUCCGGAAUUAUUGGGCGUAAAGAGCUCGUAGGCGGUCCGUCACGUCGGAUGUGAAAUUCCAGGGCUCAACCCUGGACCUGCAUUCGAUACGGGCGGACUAGAGUUCGGUAGGGGAGACUGGAAUUCCUGGUGUAGCGGUGAAAUACGCAGAUAUCAGGAGGAACACCGGUGGCGAAGGCGGGUCUCUGGGCCGAUACUGACGCUGAGGAGCGAAAGCGUGGGGAGCGAACAGG